ACGGAAACUCUAGAAGUAGUGACUCAUCUGUCUCAGCUCCUGACGUUGGAUAAGUUCACCCACCCACAUAACAUAUAUUCUAAAUGAUCAUAAAACAAAAACAAAAUUUCAAUCCAUGCAUUUUUGCUAGACUGUGGUGUGACUUUUCUUCACAUUCGUUUUUCUUCUCUAAACUAAGAACUACCGGUUAGCCUCGAAAGCGCGCCCUCGUCAGUCGCGCUCCCGAACAAAAGGUUCCAACACAUCACAACGGGAGCGCGGACGGCGUUCAAAAAAUUAAAAAAAAAAUCCCAUCCCUCCAAAAUACCCACUCCACCCUCUCCUAAAUAUCUAUUGACAAAAAAAAGCCACAUAAAACUUUGAUUUUUUUUUUUAACUAUGUGUCUACCCCUUUUAAUUUGGGAAAUUGGAUGAGACAUUUUUUCUUAUUUAUUUAGUAUCAAAGCUGUAACAUGAUUGUAAACGGAUGUAUUGUUUUUUAUUACCAUAUAAUAACGAUUUUAUGCAUAGAUUUAAUGAUUUUCUCCCUAUAAUGUUAAACCUUCAACCCUUAUUGAGGGUCUGGUUUUAUGGUUUAAAAUUUAAUAUUCAUUAUGAUGCAAAAAAUAGUUGUUUUGAUUGCGAGACGGAACAUUGCAAGCCAGUUAUUUGCUAGUGUGAGAACCCACCUGUCACAUUAUAUUGUGCAUCCUGACGUACAGCUGUACAUCCGGAUUGUAUCUCUGAAUGACCCUCCAUUAAACUCAGUUAGGUUUUAUUCAAAGUUGUGGAAUCAUUAGUGGUUUUGUUAAUUUUAUUACAGAUACACAUGUUCCAUGGAAAGCAAAAGUAUUAAAUUCAUAGUCUAACACAGCUACAUAAAAACUAAACUAUAACCUCACAGCACGCAAAACAAUAACUAAAUUGCGUUGAAAUAUUUACUUUAUUUAGGCUCUUUUGGUUUAAUAUUUUUAAAUUCACAAGAAUUUACAUGAUAUUAAAAGUACCAUGCAAAAGGUCAAAUGUAAGGCGGCAAAAACUGUAACUUAGCCCGGAAAAAAAUAUUCGUUUUGAAAACCGUCUCAGACUGACCUCCAGCGGUGGGAAUAUCUAAUUACAAUACAAAUAAAGCCGGGCUUCACAAACAUCUAUCUAUAUUUUUUAAAAUUAUUUAGAAAUAACACUUCCUGCUCUUCUUUAAUUUCACUUUGUUAACCGUCUUUAUUUCAAGCUUUGUAGUUUUCUUUGAUAUUUUUAUUUCAAAAAUUAAAGAAACCAGCAAUGUGACACUUCAAACGCAAAUGUUCCAGUAUCGCGAGAUCUCAUUGAAUCAGAACACCUGAGUGUAGCGGUUCUAAUUAGCUCUAGAUGGCAGCACUAUCUCAUGGCUUCAGUUGAGAACGACUCGAAACUAGUAAGAUUAUGUUUUUACACGACUUACUUAACUUGUAGCUAAUGUUUUUGCUAACAAAAUGUGUCUAUCACAAUGUCUCAGUUUAGCAAAUAGCCCCGUUGUUACAUGUAGCUCUGUCGGAUACAUUUUAUUGCGCUGUUAAGGCAAUCGUUUUCUUUCAUAAAGUGAGGACGUAUUUUGAAAGGUUCCUCUCAUAUGAAAACAUUAGAAGACUCGAUUGAAAAUAUUAUGAGACACUAGUAGGACAAAGUGUACUGCCUCUAUUGCUUGUAUCAUAUGAGAAAACUUGCAAUCCUAGUAUAUCUAGUCAUAUUUUACAGGUAAAUUGUUGAGAAUGUGUAGUUACAAGGUUUCUAUGGAAGAAAAUGACAUGAUACAUUUUAAUCCAUCCAUCCAUCCAUCCAUCCAUCCAUCCAUCCAUCCAUCCAUCCAUCCAUCUACCAAGUCCUCCUUCCAUACUCUGUUGUUUCAGAGGUUUCAUAUUUAAAGCUGGUCUGCUGCAGAAUUAUCUGCUAUUGUUUGCAGCAAACCAUUGUAAUUAUGCUUUUAAUGCUUGUUUGGGUCUGGAAAAUAAGUAAUAUGCAACAAAGAAUUUAAUCUGAAAAACAUUCAUUUGUGCAAAUAAUAUCUCAACAGAUACCAGAAGAGAAAAAGAUACAUCAAUCUCUACAAACAAACUCCAGACAUCUGUCGAUCACAGACAAGUUCAUUUGAGGCGUGUAAAUAAGUCGGUUUUCCCAGAACACUGAAUAGCCAAGCUCGUCCACAUUUGUGUGUGUGUGUGUUUGCGUGGGUGCGUGUGCGCUCGCGCGCGUGUGUGUGUGUGCUUCUAUGCUGGGUGGUCACGAAGAUCUGGGAUCUCUUCAUUCUCCGCCUUCCACAGAGUGAAAGAGAAAAAGCACAUGCAGAGGGGAGCUGGGGCAACACAUGAACAGCAGAGAGCUGUCAAGCUGCGAGGAGGCAGCAGAGAGACGCCUCAGCCUUUUCUUGGAAUACAUUCUCCUCUUCAUCUCUGAAGCCCACACGCGCAUGUAAACUCACAAACACGCUGACGGGCUGUGGGUGACGCUCGUAGAAGAAGGAGGGAAUUAUUUUAUGGAUCUGGAUGGAGGAGAGGCGGACACACU